UACGGAAGGGGGCUAGCGUUGCUCGGAAUGACUGGGGCGUAAAAGGGCGCGUAGGCGGCUCAUACAGUCAGAUGUGAAAUUCCUGGGCUUAACCUGGGGGGCUGCAUUUGAUACGUGUGGGCUUGAGUGGGGGAAGAGGGUCGUGGAAUUCCCAGUGUAGAGGUGAAAAUUCGUAGAUAUUGGGAAGAACACCGGUGGCGAAGGCGGCGACCUGGUCCUUGACUGACGCUGAGGCGCGAAAGUGUGGGGAGCAAACAGG
rnacentral:rRNA from 1 species